CCUACGGGAGGCUGCAGUGGGGAAUAUUGGACAAUGGGGGGAACCCUGAUCCAGCAAUGCCGCGUGUGUGAAGAAGGCCCGCGGGUUGUAAAGCACUUUCAGUGAGGAAGAACGCUUGGUGGUUAAUACCCAUCAGCAUAGACAUCACGCACAGAAGAAGCACCGGCUAACUCCGUGCCAGCAGCCGCGGUAAUACGGAGGGUGCGAGCGUUAAUCGGAAUUACUGGGCGUAAAGCGCGCGUAGGUGGCUUGAUAAGCCGGUUGUGAAAGCCCCGGGCUCAACCUGGGAACGGCAUCCGGAACUGUCAAGCUAGAGUGCAGGAGAGGAAGGUAGAAUUCCAGGUGUAGCGGUGAAAUGCGUAGAGAUCGGGAGGAAUACCAGUGGCGAAGGCGGCUUCCUGGACCGACACUGACGCUGAGGUGCGAAAGCGUGGGUAGCAAACAGGAUUAGAUACCCGAGUAGUC
rnacentral:rRNA from 1 species